UGGGAAACUGGGGAUAAUACCGGAUAGGCAAUUAUUCCUGCAAUGGUUUUUUGUUUAAAUGUUUUUUCGCCUAAGGAUGGGUCUGCGGCCGAUUAGGUAGUUGGUUAGGUAAUGGCUUACCAAGCCGUUGAUCGGUACGGGUUGUGAGAGCAAGAGCCCGGAGAUGGAACCUGAGACAAGGUUCCAGGCCCUACGGGGUGCAGCAGGCGCGAAACCUCCGCAAUGUGAGAAAUCGCGACGGGGGGAUCCCAAGUGCCAUUCUUAACGGGAUGGCUUUUCAUUAGUGUAAAAAGCUUUUGGAAUAAGAGCUGGGCAAGACCGGUGCCAGCCGCCGCGGUAACACCGGCAGCUCUAGUGGUAGCAAUUUUUAUUGGGCCUAAAGCGUCCGUAGCCGGUUUAAUAAGUCUCUGGUGAAAUCCUGUAGCUUAACUGUGGGAAUUGCUGGAGAUACUAUUAGACU
rnacentral:rRNA from 1 species